UACGUAGGGGGCAAGCGUUGUCCGGAAUCAUUGGGCGUAAAGCGCGUGUAGGCGGCCCGGUAAGUCCGCUGUGAAAGUCCAGGGCUCAACCCUGGGAUGCCGGUGGAUACUGUCGGGCUCGAGUCCGGAAGAGGAGUGUGGAAUUCCUGGUGUAGAGGUGAAAUUCGUAGAUAUCGGGAGGAACACCAGUGGCGAAGGCGGCGAUCUGGGUCGAUACUGACGCUGAGGUGCGAAAGCGUGGGGAGCAAACAGG
rnacentral:rRNA from 1 species